rnacentral:lncRNA from 1 species
UCGUGGACAAAAAAUUCCCCCUACACGGGCGCACUCCUACGUGAUCACAACUCUUUUCUUUAAUCACUUUUUAGCUUUCAAUGAAAGUGGCUAAAGUGACAUGUACCUUUAGUCGCUCUUAGUUUUUGACAAGAGAUUUGUUUUUCUCGCUCGUGGACAAAAAAUCCCCCACUCCCACGGGCGCGCUCAUGUAUAAUCACAACUCUUUUUUUAAUCACUUUUUAGCUUUCAAUGAAAGUGGCUAAAGUGACAUGUAACUUUAGUCCGCUCUUAGUUUUUUGACCCAGAUCUGUUGUUCUCAUUUCCCUCACUCAUGGACAAAAAAUCCUGCCCCCCUCCCCACCAACCCCCCCCCAAUAUUUACCCUAUCCCCCUACCCCCACAGCGCCCCGCGCCACCUUUCCCGCCGCCCCCCCCCCCCCCCCCCCCCCUCCCCCCCCCCCCCCCCCCCCUCUUUCAGCUUUUUUUUUAAUUAUUCUUUUAAAUCAAAUUUUUUUUUUAUUAAAUUUAUUUAUUUUUUCCUCAUUUAUAAAAUUCAUGCAAAACUAAUUAAAGACAUCAAUUGGCUCCAUCAAACUAACCAUCCUCCUCUUAAUUCUUUAUUAAAAAAAAUUGAUCAAAUUUUUAAAUUUGUUUUUUAUACUUUCACCUUCCGAAUUUUUAUUAAAAUAUUUUUGAAUAAAAUUAUAACUCUUUACCCCCCACCCCAUUUUUUAUAAAAAAAUUGGAUUAAAAAAUUUUAAUAUUUAUUUUUACAAUCUCUUUCUCAAUUUAUAAAUUUAAUGGCAAAACUAAUUAACAUAAUUUUUUUUUGAAACACUCAAGAGAAAACUAAUUACAAUUUAGUGUUUUUCAAAAAAUAAUAUGUGUUACAUUUUAACUUUAGUUUUUUCAAAAUAAUAUGUGAUUAUUUUCUUUACAUUUUAUAAUUGACAACAAAUUAAAAAAAUAUUAACAAAUUUUUUUGAUUCAUAUUUUUUUUUUUAAUAAAAACUAGAUGUGGGAGUAAAAGAAAUUAUAAAGAUUUAUCAUAAAAAAAUUUUAUAUAAAAAUUCGGAAGCUGAAAGUAAAAAAAAAUUAACAAAAUGUUGAUUAAUUUUUUUUUAAUAAAUAAUCAAGAGAUAAUAUUAAAAAAAAUUAAUGGGUGAAAGAGAGAUGAAGGGCAAAAUUGUCCAAGGAGAGUCAAAACCAGUCCCAUCCUCACACACACCCUGGCACAGGGGUUGCGAAAAACAUUUUGCUUUUGACAAAUGAGUCAAAUAAACUAAGAGAGGAAAAGACGUAGAAGACUAGAUAUAUAGUGGGCCACAUUCAAUGAACUCAUUAAAAUAUUCGUUAACUUAACUCAGAUAACAUGUACAAUUAACAUGUUUUUUUUUUAAGUCACUUUUCAGUUUUCAAUGAAAUGGCUAAAGUAACUAGGGAUGGCAAUUUGUCCCGUCCCGCCCCGAUUGGGGUGAAGUUUUGGGAAUUUUUUGGAGAUCGGGGAUUAAAAAAAAAAAAUUCCGGGGCGGGGCUGGGACGGUAUUGUAUAACCCCCGCCCAUCCCCCAAAAUUUACCCCGAAAAUAUUCAAAUAAAAAAUAAAUAGUACUAAAUAUAAUUAAUCACGUGAAAGGGGUGCAAAGUGAAAUUAACCCUAAAAUUUUUUUGAAUUUAUGGUUGGAUUUUGAGUUUUAAAAUUUUGAUUUUUGGAGUUUCAAAUUGUCCAUAUUUAUUUUAGUUGCAAAUUUUAGGGUUGUUAUGGUUAUUUAGUGUUUUGAUUGAUUUUUCAAUUUUUUGGCUUAGGAUUGUGUGAUUAGAUUUUUGUAUUUGUGUGUUUCAAAUUCGGGGACGGUAUUCGGGGCGGGGAGCGGAUUUGGGUCCUUUCUUACAACACACAUCCCAGGCCGGGGUAUCGAACGGGGAGGUCGGGGCUUAAAAAAAUCGGGAAUCGGGGACGGGGACGGGGACAACCAACCUCCGGCCCGCCCAACCCCGUGCCAUCCCUAAAAAAUACAUCAACUUUAGUCACUUUUAGUUUUGACAAACGGGAGUUUACUAGGCCAUGUUGUUUUGAAGAUAAAUAUAGAUUGGAUACAAUACUUGUGGAUCACUAAUAUGGUGUUUGUUGAUUCUCUCUGAAAUUGUAUAUGUAAUCUUGUGGGCCACUAAUAUAAGGAUGUUAAUUUUAUAAUUUACGACAAUUGGGAGUGAUAUGAUAUUUUUAUUCGGAUGCUAUUAUUGUUAUUAAUUAAUGAUAUGAAUGUCUAGUUAAGAAUUAUAUUUUUUUAUUUAUUUAAAGAGUACUUGAUUUUUUUUUAAUUAAAAAUUAUGACGUAAGAACAAUAAUAAAAAAUAUAAAAAAAGUGUUUAAUCCAACACCUAUGUUUAUUGUAAAACAAAAAAGUGUAUAUUGAGAUUUCACAGGUAAUCUGAAUUAAUCCGAUUGGAUUUAUUAUCCGGCCUUAAAUCCGACUGAAUUUUUAAUUCGCCAAAUUCAAUCUCCAAAAUAAAACAUAACCUAAACUUAAUUAGUUGCUUAACAAAUUAAGAGAUAGGAAAAAACAGAGAAGACUAUAUAUAUAGGGGGUCCAUUCAAUGAACUAAUUAAAAUACUCGUUAACUCAACUCAUCAGAUAACAUGUAAAAUUAACUCAUUUUUUUAUUAAUUUUUAGUUUUCAAUGAAAUGGCUGAAGUGACUCCUAUCUUCAGUUUUUUUACAAGUGAAUUACUAAAUUUAAACAGUUGUUUAACAAACUAAGGAAGGGAGAGAUGAGAAGAUAGAGAAGACUAGAUGUAUAGUGGGGUCCAUUUUUAAUAUAUUUUUUAAAUUUAAUCUAUAUUUAUAACUUUUAGGGCCCGUUUGGCUGGACUUGGAGGAUAUGGUGAGGGAUAAAUGAUUAAUUUUGGAGGGACGAUAAAUUUAAUUCUAUUGGAUAUAUUUUUAGAAUGGUGGGGGAGGAUUAAGAAAGAAAUAUAUAUAGAGAAGAAACAAAAUCUAAAAAUUUAGUGAUUAAAAAAUAUAUAUAUAUAUAUAUAUUAUAUAUACUUCAAUUAUACAUUUUGUUUUUUUUUUUCUAUUUUUUUCUUAUACCCACUCCUAGUUCCCGGAUAAACUUUAGUUAGGGGUCUAGGCCCCACUAAAUUGAUCCACUCCAGGGGCAUUUAGUCCGCUAGCCCACGCCCCGGGGGAAAAAGUUUAUCCGGGGGAGGGGGAAAAAAUUAUCCCCUUCAAAUUCUCUAGCCAAACGGGCCCUAAGUUAAUAAGAAAAAGUAAAAAAAUAUAAUAAAAAAAAGAAUUAUAGUUAUUUGUAUUUGUUGUACCUUUUGUCCCCCUUCUUUUAUAGUUAUCAUGGGGGAGUUGGUAAAACCAGUCCACGCGUUUCGUGUGUGAAUUAAAAAAGGGUGAAGUACACUGACCUCCCCUGAGGUUUGUCGAUUAAUAUACAAUGUACCUUUGACGUUUGAAAAAUACAUGACCUCUCCUGAGGUUUAAAAAAGUAUCUUUUCAGCCCCUGACACCCUAAUCUUUUACAAAAUGACCAAGGACACCCCCCACUCCUUCCUCUCUCUCAUUCCCUACUCUCCACCCCUCUAUGUCUACUUAUUCACAGGGGUUAUGGUUGAGUUGUUCAAUUUGUAUUACUUAUUUUGUUUAGAACCAUUGAUUCUUUGUUUAACAAAAAUAAAUUCACUUUUUAUUUUUUUUUCUUAUUUUUUUUUUUUGCUACUCUUUAUUAUUUUUUUUUCUUGUUUUUACUUUUUAAUAUAUAUUUGUUUUAACAAAAAACUUACCUUUUUUGUUACUUUUUUUUUUUAAUAUUGCAUUUAUUUUUAUUUUUUAUUUAUUAUUUUACUUUAAUACCUUGAUUUAGUUUUUAUUUUUUAUUUCUUUAUACCCUUUGAUUCUUUUUUUUGUAAUACCCAUUUUGGGAGUCGCUAGACAAGGGUAUUAAAAGGGGAAAAAAGUCAAAUAGUAUUAACAAAAAAUAAUCAAAGGAUAUUAUUUUAAAAAAAAUAAAAAAUAAGAAAGAAAUCAAAGAGUAUUAAAAGAAAAAAUAAUAUAUAAUAAAGGGUAACCCUUGAUUUCUUUUUUUUAUAACCAAAAAAUGAAUCACUUUUGUUACCAAAAAAAAAGAAUCAAGAGUAUUAAAAGAAAAUAAAAAAGAAAAAAAUUAAAAAAUAAUCAUCCAAAGGGUUUUUAAAAGUAAAUAAUAAUAAAAAAAUCAAAAUAAAUAAUAUGGCUACAAAAAAAAGUAACAAAAAGGGUAAGUUUUUGUUAAAAAAAAGAAUCAAAUGAUUUUUAAAAAAAAUAAUAAUAAAAUAAAAAAAUAAAAGGGUACAAAAAAAAAAUAAGAAAAAAGUAACAAAAAGUAAAUUUAUUUUUGUAAAAAAGAAUCAAUGGGUAUUAAAAAAUAAUAAUACAAAAGUAAAAUUAAAAAAUAAAAUAUAAUGAGAAAGAGAGAGAGAGAUGAGGAGGGCAUGAGGAGAGAUGAGUGGGGGUAUCUUGGUAAUUUUGUUAAAAGAUUAGGGGUGGUCGCCUGUCAGGGGUUUGAAAGAAAUUUUCAAACUCAGGGGAGGUUAGUGUAAACUAUUUCAAACGUCAGGCGAGUACUUUGUGUAUUAAAGACAAACUAAGGCGGAGGUCAGUGUAAUAACCCAUUUUAAAAAAAAAGGGUACCUUCUAACUAGUUGUCCUUAUGGUUUUAUUGAGUUUGGUGCGAGCGGGGACAGGAUCUGACUGUUCCAAAGGCUUGGGAACAGGCAUGUAAUGUUGAUCAUCUGUCAUUAAAAUAAUUUAUCAUUAAAGACCUUUCAUAAUUUAUUAAUCUCAUGAUAAAUUAUAAAAAUCUUCUUCAUGUAAAUUUAUACUUCCCAAAAAUGUGUCAUCAAGGACAGAGGGGACAUAGCCAUGUCCCAAAUCCUCUGGAACAUGUGAUCUCCAUUUGUAGAGAUUCUAAACCAAAGAGUACAAGGGGAAAUGUGCAUAAUUUUUUUUAAUUUUUUAAAUUAAAUAUACAUUUUAGAAUAUUAGAAAGUAAAAUAAUAAAAACUCAGUAGAGAACGGAUUGGUGAAGUAACAUUAUUUUAUCCGGGGGUUGGUUAGGCUUUUUUUUCUUCAAUUUUUAGCUCUUUGUGUUAAUUUUUCUUUCUUUUUAGUUAUUUUUUUAUCUGUAAUCUAAAAUUUCUAAUUUUUCGGUUUUUUCUUGGAUGUCGAGACGGGGAAAAGAGGAAAAACUAUACAACAUGAAAAUAUAAAAAGUUUAUUCAAAUUUUAAAAAAAGUCAAUUAAAGACUAAAUCUAGCUAAUUUGUCAAAUAAUAAAUUCCAACUGUUGAUAGUAGGAGAUAGUUUUGAAAUUCAAACAUUUUUUUGUCUUAUAUUAUAGAUAGUUUGGAAGAUUUAAAAAUAUGUGUAUUUUAUAUUAAAUAUCCUAAUUUUUACUCAAAUAUUUUUACUACAACCAUUGAAUAUAUUAAUUUCAAUAAAUAUAUAAAAAAAUGAACAAAGAGAAAAUCGGACGUAUGAAAUAUCCUUUUUAUUUGUGAUAAUUUUUUUUAUUCUUCUUUAUUUUUUAUAUUUUAUUAUUUUUAGAAAUUUUUUUACUCCGACUGAAUUCACAAUAUUUUAUUUUUUGAUUUUUGUCUUGAUAAAAAAGAGUAGAAAAAAUAUAGAAAAAAGACGAAGUAAGAAUAAAAAGCUCUAAAAAUAAAAAAAUACGGGUAUCGCAAAAUGAAUAUAAUUGUUUGGGAGAGUUUAAAACUGGUGAUAGUCCAAAAUAACUAAAAUAAUUUAAAAAGUUGAUCAAAGUAAAAAAUAUUGAAUCCAAAAAAACAUUAAAAUGAGGAGAUUUUUUUGUGGGUCUUCUACUAAAAAAUCUCAAUGGAUAAAUAUAUACCAGAUUAGAGAUUUUUUUGUCAUGGAUGAUAAAAUAUAUGGGCAUACACCUUUGAAAAAAAGAAAGUGAUAUUUUUUUUUUUUUAAAAGUAAUCUCAAGUGAAAUUUCAACCAUUACAUUAACUCAAAUAAAAUCCAACCAUAGAUAGUGGGAGAUAAUUUUGAGAUUCAAAAAUAUUUAUCUCUUAUAUUAUAAUUUUUUUUUCUUUAAUAAUUUUUUUCCUGAAAUUAGAUAUAACUUUUUACUAACAUAUUUGACGCAGCUUCUCCACGUAACAAAGACUCGAUACGGACUUUGCCCAAAGCCCUUCAAGAGAAGGUGAAUCUAAAAAUAAAUUGUGUUGGGCAAGUGUAUAUUUUACAAGUGCUUUUUAGAACAUUUCCUAUUCAGUUUUAAAUUGAUUUCCAACAAAAUCCAAGGUCAUUUCCUUACCGAUCAAUCAAGACUUAUCACAAAUAGCUACCGCAUCUGAUUUCAUCAUUUGCAGAAAAAAACUUAAAUUUAAAGUUCUUUCAUCCCAUUUGACGAAACAAUUCAUUUCCUUUCCCAAUAGCUAAAAUUUGUUUCUGCCAAUCCAGUCAUCCAAAAGUUCUAAUCAAUUGGUGAAAAUUUUAAUAUAAGAUCAAAUGUUCCAAAAACUCAAAAUCAAAUUUCCUUCUGGACCCACGGAGCACACCGACGAGGAAAAGAAAAAUCGAGAAGCAGAAGAAGAUUGUGACGGUCCACACAGAGCACACCGACGAGGAAAAGAAAAAUCGAGAAGCAGAAGAAGAUUGUGACACGUCUCCAGAAACCUUUCUAAAGAUCUUUUUAACUUUUUUGGGUUUCAACAAAUUCUCCUUUGCAAACUAUAGACAUGCAUUUAUGUGUAAGAAGAUAAAAUGUUAAGUAUCAUUUUUGACCGAGUUUGGAUAAUUACUGUUGUUGAAUUAUUACUUCAUAACAAGGUUGAUGGGUUAUUUGCGCUAGAGCUCGAUCAAGGUACAUCGACUGACGGAAAUUUUAAAGGCACGUCAGAGUCAAAGAGUAACUUACAUGACGAAAUUCUAUUUGCCACAAGCACGCUUGGAUUCAGAUAUCGAUGACGUGAUAGACUAGUUGUCAAUUUUGUCUUAAGAUAAUGAUAGGGUCAAUCGCUUAUUCACUAAUAUGUCAAUUGGCGUGUCCAGAUAUACGUCGAACUACACUAUAAAGGUCAUGCAUUUUAUCUUUCAAAAGUAUGCAAUAUCAGCUCACAAAAGCUACACACUAUUUAGCUAUAUAUAUAUAUAUUAUUUUUUUUUUCGAUCACUAACUUGAUCGUCGGAUGACCGUCGAGAGACAGGUCCGGCGACCUUUCUCACUGUUCUUAUUUUACAGGUCAAGCGAGCAAACUUCUACCACCAGUAUCCGCUAACUACCAACGGAGAUAUCUAUUUUCGAUUUUCUUUAAUGUUACAAGACAAGUUGACACUACAAGUGUAAUUUAUUAUAAUAAUAAGGAAAUUUGAUAGAAGUAAGAGAAUUCAAUUAAUUGAAGGGUUCCGCUUCCCGAGAAGUGGAAUUGGAAGCCACUCUUGCCUGCGUUUUUUGGAGAAGACUUCCGGCUACUUGAAUUUUGUUAGAAUUAGUUCGCAGUC